CACGGCAGAGCAGAAGUUCUACUUCAGCGAGAUCAGGCCUGGGAAGAAACUGCGUUUCACAGGCUUUGUAAGACAUGUUACCGGUAGGCUUGUAAGAGCCAUGUGCAGAGCGAGUUGUUUCUAAGUUGCCCAAAGAGCUGGAAGCCGGACGCUGUGGGGACUGUCUGCCCUUGAGGACACAAGGCAGGACAUUGUCCCUUUCAGCUCUAGGCCCAUGUAGGACACGGCAGAGCAGAAGUUCUACUUCAGCCAGAUCAGGC
rnacentral:lncRNA from 1 species